UCAGGAUGAACGCUAGCUACAGGCUUAACACAUGCAAGUCGAACGGAGUUAUCUCGCUGAGGAGAGCUUGCUCAAAUCUUGAGAUAACUUAGUGGCGGACGGGUGAGUAACGCGUGGAUAACCUGCCUUAUACCGGGGGAUAACACUUAGAAAUAGGUGCUAAUACCGCAUAAGCGCACGAUCCCGCAUGGGAAAGUGUGAAAAACUCCGGUGGUAUAAGAUGGAUCCGCGUCUGAUUAGAUAGUUGGUGAGGUAACGGCCCACCCAAGUCAACGAUCAGUAGCCGGCCUGAGAGGGUGAACGGCCACAUUGGGACUGAGACACGGCCCAAACUCCUACGGGAGGCAGCAGUGGGGAAUAUUGCACAAUGGGGGAAACCCUGAUGCAGCGACGCCGCGUGAGUGAAGAAGUAUUUCGGUAUGUAAAGCUCUAUCAGCAAGGAAGAAAAAUGACGGUACUUGACUAAGAAGCCCGGCUAACUACGUGCC
rnacentral:rRNA from 1 species